rnacentral:misc_RNA from 1 species
CUAAUUUCUCCUCUCAUUCCCGUUCAUCCAUCGUCAAUUCUUUCUGGGUUUGUAAAUAAUAAAUUAUUUCUUGCAACAAUAAACACAGUUCAUCCACAAGAGGAGCUCACAUGAAUCCCUUCAUCUUCGAAGCCCAUUUCCUCAUACCCACUUGAAGAAAGCUUCCUCGCAAACCUAUUUCUCCUCUCUUUUAACAUAUUCACGCAACACCAGACCUAGCUCACCUCCCUUCAGUAUUGAGCCUCGCAGCUCUUCCUUAGACUACACAUCAACAACCUGGCGUCGCUAUCCACACAAACCAGUCGCGGCAGUUUCGAAGAAGGAUUAGAUUGGUGAUAUGGUGGACAUCUACAGUUAGACCUCCAUUGGGUUCCUAUAAAGAGGAAUUGUUUGUUGGGGUCUGCGAUUUUGAACUCAUCAGCUAUGGCCACAGCAGGGAUUAUAUGUCCACUAGUCCUACUAGCCGCGAACACAGAGAAGGAGAAAGGGAUGGAGGG